UAAUACUGGAUAGGCAAUUAUUCCUGUAAUGCUUUUUUGUUUAAAUGUUUUUUCGCCUAAGGAUGGGUCUGCGGCCGAUUAGGUAGUUGGUUAGGUAAUGGCUAACCAAGCCUUUGAUCGGUACGGGUUGUGAGAGCAAGAGCCCGGAGAUGGAACCUGAGACAAGGUUCCAGGCCCUACGGGGUGCAGCAGGCGCGAAACCUCCGCAAUGUGAGAAAUCGCGACGGGGGGAUCCCAAGUGCCAUUCUUAACGGGAUGGCUUUUCUUUAGUGUAAAAAGCUUUUGGAAUAAGAGCUGGGCAAGACCGGUGCCAGCCGCCGCGGUAACACCGGCAGCUCUAGUGGUAGCAAUUUUUAUUGGGCCUAAAGCGUCCGUAGCCGGUUUAAUAAGUCUCUGGUGAAAUCCUGUAGCUUAACUGUGGGAAUUGCUGGAGAUACUAUUAGACUUGAGACCGGGAGAGGUUAGAGGUACUCGCAGGGUAGAGGUGAAAUUCUGUAAUCCUGGGAGGACCGCCUGUUGCGAAGGCGUCUAACUGGAACGGUUCUGACGGUGAGGGACGAAAGUUAGGGGCGCGAACCGGAUUAGAUACCCGGGUAGUCCUAACUGUAAACGAUGCGGACUUGGUGUUG
rnacentral:rRNA from 1 species